rnacentral:rRNA from 1 species
UACGGAGGGUGCGAGCGUUGUUCGGAUUUACUGGGCGUAAAGCGCGUGUAGGCGGCUUGGCAAGUCGGAUGUGAAAGCCCACGGCUCAACCGUGGAAGCGCAUCCGAAACUGCUUCGCUCGAGUCUCGGAGAGGAAGGUGGAAUGCUUGGUGUAGAGGUGAAAUUCGUAGAUAUCAAGCAGAACACCUGCGGCGAAGGCGGCCUUCUGGACGAUGACUGACGCUGAGACGCGAAAGCGUGGGGAGCGAACAGG